UUUUAAUCCCAGAGNUUCAUAGCGUAUAUUAAAGUUGUUGCAGUUAAAAAGCUCGUAGUUGGAUUUGUGGCAGUCGCAUGCGGCCCGGCAUUCGUGUCGGUGUUUGCUCGCGUCGCCAUCCUUGGGUGGAACCUGUGUGGCAUUAGGUUGUCGUGCAGGGGAUGCCCAUCAUUUACUGUGAAAAAAUUAGAGUGUUCAAAGCAGGCUUAUGCCGUUGAAUAUAUUAGCAUGGAAUAAUAAGAUAGGACCUUGGUACUAUUUUGUUGGUUUGCGCACCAAGGUAAUGAUUAAUAGGGACAGUUGGGGGUAUUCGUAUUCCAUUGUCAGAGGUGAAAUUCUUGGAUUUCUGGAAGACGAACUACUGCGAAAGCAUUUACCAAGGAUGUUUUCAUUAAUCAAGAACGAAAGUUAGGGGAUUCGAAGAUGAUUAGAUCCCCCCCCAAGUCCAAA
rnacentral:rRNA from 1 species